rnacentral:rRNA from 1 species
GUGGGUUGCAAUCGUCUUGUCAUUAACUCUGACAAUAUGGAGGUGAUUGACGCAAUGAACAAUGGAGGACAUUCAGCAUGAGCAGCGACAACAAUGUUCGAUGAUUGCUAUUUCAUAGCUUGUGAUUUUCCUCUUAUUAGGUUCGAACAUUGUAAUAGGGAAGCAAAUAAGGUGGCUCAUGAACUUGCUAGGCUAGCGUUUUCCAUCCAUAGGGAUUAGUUUGAGGAGCCUAUAUGUGAUAUUGCACCUUUUCUUAUUGACGAUGUAACAACUAUUUCUAAUUAA